UACAGAGGGGGCAAGCGUUGUUCGGAAUUACUGGGCGUAAAGGGCGCGUAGGCGGCCUGCUAAGUCGAACGUGAAAUCCCCGGGCUCAACCCGGGAACUGCGUCCGAUACUGGCAGGCUUGAAUUCGGGAGAGGGAUGCGGAAUUCCAGGUGUAGCGGUGAAAUGCGUAGAUAUCUGGAGGAACACCGGUGGCGAAGGCGGCAUCCUGGACCGAAAUUGACGCUGGGGCGCGAAAGCCAGGGGAGCAAACGGG
rnacentral:rRNA from 1 species